rnacentral:rRNA from 1 species
AACGAACGCUGGCGGCAGGCCUAACACAUGCAAGUCGAACGCUCGUAGCAAUACAGGAGUGGCAGACGGGUGAGUAACACGUGGGAACGUGCCCUUCGGUUCGGAAUAACUCAGGGAAACUUGGGCUAAUACCGGAUACGUCCGCGAGGAGAAAGUUUCAUCGCCGAAGGAUCGGCCCGCGUCCGAUUAGCUAGUUGGUGGGGUAAUGGCUCACCAAGGCGACGAUCGGUAGCUGGUCUGAGAGGAUGAUCAGCCACACUGGGACUGAGACACGGCCCAGACUCCUACGGGAGGCAGCAGUGGGGAAUAUUGGACAAUGGGCGCAAGCCUGAUCCAGCCAUGCCGCGUGGGUGAUGAAGGCCCUAGGGUUGUAAAGCCCUUUCGGCGGGGAAGAUAAUGACGGUACCCGCAGAAGAAGCCCCGGCUAACUUCGUGCCAGCAGCCGCCGUAA